AGAUGUCCGGGCUCACUUAACCACAGAAGGGUGGACCUCUCAGACCAACACUGACACCAGCAGUAAACAGGAAAUGCCCUCCAACCGCAGGCCUCCUGCUCUUCCUGCCAGGGUCGAGAAGAUUCUAAUCCAGAUUCAGAAGAGGAGCUGACUGGCCUCUGGCAAGCCCAAGCUGGAUUACCAGCUGCGGAGGCAGAGGUGCCUGAGGUUUCCCAGCCCCCAGGCCAGAGGAGGCUGCUACACCCACUUCCCCCACGAAGCUGGGGCCCAGGCCAGAGAGAGAGCCCCAAAGCUGGUUUGGGGGCGGGGAGCUUCCCUACAGGCCCUGGAGCCCCAUAGGCCCCAAGACAAAGCAAGAGGAAUGAGAGGAAGCACAGCCGGGUCAAAGCUCCGAGCCACGAGUACUGAGGCAGGUGGUGGUACCCAGACCCCCUCUCCAUAGCUCCCAUGAGAGCACAAGGCGGAGGAGAGGACAGACUCCUGGCCUGAGGGGCCAAGCACCAGCUUCUCAGCCAGCUCUGCCACUGACUUGCUGCUUGGCAAGUCACUUAACUGUUCCAAGCCUCAGUUUUCACUUCUGGAAAUGGGGAUAUGACCCCCUGCCUGCCCCCUCAUGCUGGCAUAAGAAUCAAUGACCUGUGACAGGACUUUGUAAAUUAUAAGUUGGUAUUAGUUAGGCCUCUUUAGUCACAAAUGUGAGAAACUGACAUUAAAUGAGGCAAUGCAAAAGGGGGAUUCACCAGCUCAGAGGCCCAAGACCCAGGGCAGGGAGAGGAGGCGCUGUCAUUCCCUCUCACCCCUGCAUCUCUCUGCAAGUCAGUCUCUUCUUCCGCAAGCCUGGAGCCAACUUCACCUCCUAAGAGGAGCUUCUCUGCUCUGUCACUACCAACUUGAACAACCACAGGGAGGGCCCUGAAUUGUGUCACAUGUCCACCCAUGGCUGUGAGACACUAUCUUAUGCAGCUUCUUCUGGAAGCUUCUUAUUUUGAUUGUUGGCAUCAGCAUUAUAAGUUUGCCACAUUUUCCUGAUUCCUAUCCUCCUUGGACAAAAUAACAUAGGGGCUAAGGGCACAGGCUCUGGAACCCAGAUUACCUGGAUUCAAGUUCUGGUUCUGCCAUUUUCUCACUGUGUAACGUUGGGCAAGUCGCUUAACUUCUCUGCACCUCAGUUCAUAAAUCUGUGAAAACUAAAUGAGUUGAUACAUGGGAAGUAUGAACAAUUGUGCCUGGUGCCGGCCAGGGGUUCAACAAAUGUUAAUCAUUAUUAUUGUCGGAGAAUGAAGGGGCAGUGCCUGGGAAUCCCAGGAUGAGAGACAGCCUGAAGAAAAACCAUCCUGCUCCACCUACUCCUCAACCUUCUUCCGGGGAGAGCUGACAACUGCAGGAGCUAUGGCUCAACAAAGAUGUACAGAGCUAUGCAGUAAGCCCUGAGAAUUACAAAACUUGACAGACAAAGUCGCUUUUUCUCCAGAAGCUCAUUGCCAAGUAAGGGAGAUAGAAGCAUGAAGAGAUCAUUUCUAUCCUGUGCUGGAUAGAAGCGUGUGUAUGUCUCUGUGGGAAGCCACAGUGGGACAACUGGUCCAGAGAGAGCUGCCUGGAAGAAAUGACACCUGAGCUAAGGCCUGGAGCAGGGGCAAGAGCUUGCCAAGCAAGGAAAGGAGGGCAGGGCGUUGUGCUGUCCAUUGGCUAUUCAGUCUCGGCUCCAGAUCUCCACUUGUCAGGUUGGCGCUACUGGGGCUUGAUCUGUGCAAAUUACAUGUCCCCAGGUCAGCUGGUUCUGGCAGGUUCUUCCAAUAGGGGGCACUAGGAGACUGAGGUCAGGAGGAGAGAAGGCACUUGCUCUUUUGUGCUUGCUUGCUUCUCCCCAGCAAGCUUUUUGCCGCAGAAGCAUCCACUGAAGCCUCCAGCUUUCUUCAGCCUCAGCAGCUGGAAGCCAUGUGAAGCAGCUGACAAACAGCUGGAGGCUGAGAUGCCUGCUGUGGGGGGAGCAACAGUUUAAACCAGUGAGCAUGUAGCAUCGGAAAGCUUCCCGAUGGAUGAUAGAUUUGGUGUCAGAAGUGAGAAUACAGAGUAAAACUUCAGCAACCCCCAGGAACACCAGGGAACCAGACCAGAUACCUGCGAAGCCAGCUGUGCCCACUGAUUUCUUGUUUGUAACUGGAGGUCGUGGCUGAAUUUUCUCUCAGAUUCCAAGAUCCAAGAAUUUGUGUUCUCAGCUCUCCAAGUUUGUUUGAGCAAUCUUUGGACUGGGCUGGGUUUGGGAUUGGAUUGGAUUCAAUAAUCAACCGGAUUAGAUUCAGUUAGAGGCUGAGGGCCUCAGAACUACUGCAGGACCAUACCAGAAAAGCUCAGAGAAUCCACAGACCCUUAGAAGGAACUAGAUCACUGCUGCGGGGCCCCUGAGAUGCCGGAAAACUAAAGCUAUAUUUAAAAGGGGGCUGAUACUGCUGUUUUCUAAGAUACUGCCACCAGAUACGUUAAGGAAAUCUCUCAAGAGAAAGGAACAGAUGACAUGUCUAUGGGAGCAACUGACAGUUGGUUUGUAAGCAUCCCGAAUGGUGAAUGGCAAGCUUGGCUUUUUCCAAGGUUUUCUAAAGUAUAAAUUUCUUCCCUUAGGUCUCCAGGUUAUUAUGACUUGUGUUACCAGGUAACAACAAAAAUGGCCUUUUAAAAUCAGGCCAUUUUACAGCAAACUAUAGUUCUUAAUCAUCACCAAAUCCUGCACCAAGGACUAUGCCCAACUAGAGUCAAAUAUUGUUAAACUGCCUAUAUUGUCUGAACUUUGACCUGUUUGAUUUGGUUAGGUUCGUUGAGUUCAUUUCUUAGAACUUGUUGAGGAGUACACUUUGGACUUGUUUGUUUGUUUGCUUGUUUGUUUUAAGAGGUAGUGUCUGUGUAUGCUGCCCAGGCUGGA
rnacentral:lncRNA from 1 species